ACACAUGCAAGUCGAGCGGUAACAGAAAGUAGCUUGCUACUUUGCUGACGAGCGGCGGACGGGUGAGUAAUGCUUGGGAACAUGCCUUGAGGUGGGGGACAACAGUUGGAAACGACUGCUAAUACCGCAUAAUGUCUACGGACCAAAGGGGGCUUCGGCUCUCGCCUUUAGAUUGGCCCAAGUGGGAUUAGCUAGUUGGUGAGGUAAUGGCUCACCAAGGCAACGAUCCCUAGCUGGUUUGAGAGGAUGAUCAGCCACACUGGAACUGAGACACGGUCCAGACUCCUACGGGAGGCAGCAGUGGGGAAUAUUGCACAAUGGGCGAAAGCCUGAUGCAGCCAUGCCGCGUGUGUGAAGAAGGCCUUCGGGUUGUAAAGCACUUUCAGUCAGGAGGAAAGGGUGUGAGUUAAUACCUCACAUCUGUGACGUUACUGACAGAAGAAGCACCGGCUAACUCCGUGCCAGCAGCCGCGGUAAUACGGAGGGUGCGAGCGUUAAUCGGAAUUACUGGGCGUAAAGCGUACGCAGGCGGUUUGUUAAGCGAGAUGUGAAAGCCCCGGGCUCAACCUGGGAACUGCAUUUCGAACUGGCAAACUAGAGUGUGAUAGAGGGUGGUAGAAUUUCAGGUGUAGCGGUGAAAUGCGUAGAGAUCUGAAGGAAUACCGAUGGCGAAGGCAGCCACCUGGGUCAACACUGACGCUCAUGUACGAAAGCGUGGGGAGCAAACGGGAUUAGAUACCCCGGUAGUCCACGCCGUAAACGAUGUCUACUAGAAGCUCGGAACCUCGGUUCUGUUUUUCAAAGCUAACGCAUUAAGUAGACCGCCUGGGGAGUACGGC
rnacentral:rRNA from 1 species